rnacentral:rRNA from 1 species
UUGUAGCCAUAUCAUGUUGAAUCACCAGUUCCCAUACAAUCACCAAAGUUAAGCAACGUCAAGGCUGGUCAGUACUUAGAUGGGUGACAACUUUGGAAUACCAGGUGCUGUAAG